GCGCCUGCCCUGUGAUUUCUGCCCCCGCUAAGGACUUGUGCAAGCAAGCAUCCUGCUGCCAAAGGGAGACGGAAGGAUUUGUCACUUUUUCCAAGGUCGCGAGUGGAGUUACAGGAGAAAAUGUUGCCAAAUGGGUAGACUAAACAAUGAAUGGCUGCCGGGUUUAGUCAUACCUCUCUGUGUGUGCCAUCAAUUGCUGACGGGAGCUAGGACAUUAUUCCAGCUACAAAAUGGGCGCGUGAUCCUGCAAACUGAUGCAUGGGCCUUGCAAGCUACGCCUAUAGAAUUGGCUGUAGGUACUAAGCACAGAAGACCAUCGGAUCCCUGUGGAGCCCGACCCCACUGCUUCACCCGUGUGGUCCAAGCUGCUCCCUGGAUGUCAAGGGUUGGCCAUUCCUGUGGUGUCAGUAGUGAGUGCUUGGAUGAAUAUGAGAUCUAUAGGCUGGUGAUGCAGAUGGUGAUGGGAAGAGACAGUAGAGAUGCCAACACACUCCCUGGACGGUGUUUCUGGAGGGAAAAGGUCCGGGUCUGGCGAGCCAGUGGAAUGUGCUGUGGCAGAAAAUCCACAGGCUCUGGAAUCUGACUGUCAGAGCCUGGGCCCUGGAUACCGUGUCUACCACCUUUGUGAUCUGUGGCAUGUUAUUUAGUAUCUUGGAGCCUCAGUUUACCUUCUGUAUUAUUAGGGUAAUAAUGUUUUCUUUUGGGGCUUUUGGUGAGGAUUAAAUGAUAUAUGGAAAGCUUA